GAUGAACGCUGGCGGCGUGCCUAAUACAUGCAAGUCGAGCGAACGGACGAGAAGCUUGCUUUUCUGAUGUUAGCGGCGGACGGGUGAGUAACACGUGGAUAACCUACCUAUAAGACUGGGAUAACUUCGGGAAACCGGAGCUAAUACCGGAUAAUAUUUUGAACCGCAUGGUUCAUAAGUGAAAGACGGUCUUGCUGUCACUUAUAGAUGGAUCCGCGCUGCAUUAGCUAGUUGGUAAGGUAACGGCUUACCAAGGCAACGAUGCAUAGCCGACCUGAGAGGGUGAUCGGCCACACUGGAACUGAGACACGGUCCAGACUCCUACGGGAGGCAGCAGUAGGGAAUCUUCCGCAAUGGGCGAAAGCCUGACGGAGCAACGCCGCGUGAGUGAUGAAGGUCUUCGGAUCGUAAAACUCUGUUAUUAGGGAAGAACAUAUGUGUAAGUAACUGUGCACAUCUUAACGGUACCUAAUCAGAAAGCCACGGCUAACUACGUG
rnacentral:rRNA from 1 species